ACACUUACCUGACAGGGGAAAUGACAUGAUCAGGAAGGUGGUUUUCCCAGGAUGAGGUUUAUCUAUUUCCUCAGAAUGUGCUGACCCCUGCUACUUCCCAAAAUAUGGGGAACUUGGCUGCAUAAUUUAUGGUGGUGAGGGGACUGCAUCCAUGCUCUCCCCUG
ensembl:snRNA U1 U1 spliceosomal RNA